rnacentral:rRNA from 1 species
UACAGAGACUGCAAGCGUUAUUCGGAUUCACUGGGCGUAAAGGGUGCGCAGGCGGCCGGGUGUGUCAGAUGUGAAAUCCCGAGGCUCAACCUCGGAACUGCGUCUGAAACUACUCGACUAGAGUACUGGAGAGGGUAACGGAAUUCACGGUGUAGCAGUGAAAUGCGUAGAUAUCGUGAGGAACACCAGAGGCGAAGGCGGUUACCUGGACAGUUACUGACGCUCAGGCACGAAAGCAUGGGGAGCAAAAGGG